rnacentral:rRNA from 1 species
AGCAGCCGCGGUAAUUCCAGCUCCAAUAGCGUAUAUUAAAGUUGUUGCAGUUAAAAAGCUCGUAGUUGAAUUUCGGGAUCAAUUUAUCGGUCGUGCCAACGGUAUGAACUGGUACAAUUGGUUUCUCCCUUCUGAUGAAGCACGAUGUCAUUAACUUGGUGUCGUGGGGAAUCAGGACUGUUACUUUGAAAAAUUAGAGUGUUUAAAGCAGGCCUUGGCUUGAAUACAUUAGCAUGGAAUAAUGAAAUAGGACGUUUGAUCCUAUUUCGUUGGUUUCUGGGAUCGACGUAAUGAUUAAUAGGGAUAGUUGGGGGCAUUAGUAUUCAAUUGUCAGAGGUGAAAUUCUUGGAUUUAUUGAAGACUAACUACUGCGAAAGCAUUUGCCAAGGAUGUUUUCAUUAAUCAAGAACGAAAGUUAGGGGAUCGAAGACGAUCAGAUACCGUCGUAGUCUUAACCAUAAACUAUGCCGACUAGGGAUCGGAUGAUGUUAAUUUUUAAUGUACUCAUUCGCGCCU